UACGAAGGGGCUAGCGUUGUUCGGAAUCACUGGGCGUAAAGCGCACGUAGGCGGACUCUUAAGUCGGUGGUGAAAUCCUGGAGCUCAACUCCAGAACUGCCUUCGAUACUGGGAGUCUCGAGUCCGGGAGAGGUGAGUGGAACUGCGAGUGUAGAGGUGAAAUUCGUAGAUAUUCGCAAGAACACCAGUGGCGAAGGCGGCUCACUGGCCCGGUACUGACGCUGAGGUGCGAAAGCGUGGGGAGCAAACAGG
rnacentral:rRNA from 1 species